UACGUAGGUUGCAAGCGUUAUCCGGAAUUAUUGGGCGUAAAGGGUGCGUAGGCGGUUACGUGUGUCUAAGGUGAAAUUCCAGAGCUCAACUCUGGACUGCCUUAGAAACUGCGUGACUAGAGUGCAGGAGAGGGCAACGGAAUUCCAUGUGUAGCGGUAAAAUGCGUAGAUAUAUGGAGGAACACCGGUGGCGAAGGCGGUUGCCUGGCCUGUAACUGACGCUGAGGCACGAAAGCGUGGGGAGCAAAUAGG
rnacentral:rRNA from 1 species